UUUGGGGCUAGGGUUAGGUUUAAGGUUUUUGGCGUUAGGGUUAAAAUAACUGUCCAAUAUGUAGCAAUCAAGACAACCCUGGAUGUGAAACCCACACAUUCCUUACAGGAAAGUUUCCUUAUCUGGUCCCAGGAAACAGGAUAUAAAUCUUUCCAGACGUGUUUGCACUUUCAGGUUAAAUAAGUGACCCAACCGGAGGUUGACUAAACCUCUGACUCUUCAGGAUUGGUCAGUUCGGCGAACAGAGACAGAGUUUUUAUUACCUUUCAAACUGACUCCAUUUGCUGACCAUCUAAAUAAACAUUAACCUCAACCCAGAUCUCCCAUUUGAGAUUUAGCAUCUUAAAGUGUGUGAACAUACGGACCCCAGGAUAAGGGGGGGACACUGACCUCCAGACCUCGGUCGUAAAACCCUGCUCGACCAUACACUGAUAAAGACUGCAUUCCUUUGGUGAAAGAAUACAAAUGACUGAUCAUGACAUCUUAUGCAUUCAGCAAUGUACUAAUCUGUCUAAUCAUGAAAUUUGUGUUAAAAUGAGAUGUUUCCCAUUUUUCUAUGUGCUCCAGAAGCCGAGUUAUCGCUCUUUAGUUUCUUUAGACCAACAGCUUUUCAGACUGUUUCAUGAACUUUUAAGAGUUACAUUUAUUGACUAUGGAUCAUAACUUUACUCUAUGAACACAGAAAUAGUUUAGAAAUGUUUGGUCUAUAUUUUAAUCGUUUAUUUAGUAUUUUUAACCAUUAGGUGGUUAUAAUGUCAUUGAAUAACCUUAAUGUGAGUAUUUAGAAUCCAUUAUUAAUCAUGAUGAAGUUCAUUCACAUGUGUUUACUCUUUUGUUGUUCACAGUUUCCAUGUGUUACUAUCUGUUUCAUUUCAGAGUAAUUUAGCAUGUUCAAUGUGAUACUUUAAACAUAAUGAGAAUGUUUGAUGUGAUCCUACACUUCAUUCAUAUGUGUUUAGUGUCAAAUUAUUUGUCAUGAAACCAAGCAUUCAAUGAUAUUAAUCAUAGUGAGUGAGUAUCAGAUCUGACUCUUUUACCAGCCAAAAGAAUAAGUUAGAUCAAAUAAUCAAAGACCACACGACCCUCCUCUGUCUCACACACACACGCCGGAGCCACUCCCAGUGUGAGAAGAUAAAACCAGUGAAGUGGGGUUGCUCACUCUCUUAUGCUUCUCUUAUGUCUCUUCUGCUUCUGCUCUUGUGUGCUGACUCUCCUGUCUCUCUUAGGCCCCUUACUCUUGGGCCCUUCUCUUCUGUCCACACCCUUCUGUGGUCCUCUUCUUCUUUGUUUUCUCUUAGAACUUCUUCUUAGUCUUCUAAGUUUUACGCCACGUGUUGAUUCACGUUGAUUUUUCCUUAACAUCGUCUUAGUUCAAGUUUUGAAACUUCAACUUUUUGUGCGCAUAGCAAUUCAAGAUUAAGCCUUUGAUUGAUUUUUCUUUAAUUUUGCAAAGCCAUUUUUGAAAGUUUUCUCUGCUCGAGUCUCGUUUUUCUGAGUUUUCUGCGUGAUCUCAAAGUCACCUCUGAACGCAACCCAGUAGGCCCAGGUCAUCCUCUGUGCCAGAGUUUUUGAGUGAGACCAAAGAAGUACCCAAACGAGCAUCCACAGGAUCCACAGGCGCUGGCUUUACUUCGGGCCCGAGUGCUGCAACUCCUGGCUCAUCCUUCGGCUGACUUCAGUCGUCUUCUGAGCUGAACCGCUCGAACCGCCAGUAGCCCCGGACCUUCGGAACCUGCUCCAUCUUCUCCAAGGACCAGUCUCACUUAAGUAUGCAAACCUCCAGAGCUCCAGACAGGGCUGAUGCUGUCUCAUGCGUUCAUAACUUAGAUAUCCACCUAUUUCUGGUGAUCUUAGAUUCCUCCAAAUCCACAUCCGAGUUUAUCUCGACACCAAAGUUAGUGUAGGUUAAUAUGUUAGCGCAUAUUCACUCACUAUCAUUAACUUUAGUGCUCUUAGCCUGACUCAGAAUCUUUAUUUAUUCACCUAUUAUUAUUUAUCUUCAUUAUCUUAUCAUCAUUUAUUGCAUGUGUGUUGUACCAUCAUUUAUCCUGUAAUAAACAGAUCAUUAUUUUUCUAAGUUCCUGUCUGUUAGUGUUCUUCCAGAAGUGGAGUCCCUGAAAUUAGAAUUUCGACUUAAGAUAUGAGACUGAUUGAUUAAGACUGAUUAAUUAAGACUGAUUAAUUAAAACUGACUUGAUGUUUGAUUUCUGAAUUAAACUUUUGUUUUCUUUAUUUUCCCACCAUUAAGGGUGGGUGGUGCCCCUUUCAACGAGUGCAUAAAUGUCAUAAUUUGAGAUUAUUAAUCUUCAGACAUUUAUUAUAAAUUCCAAUCGCCAAGUAUUAUUUUGGUGCGGCCUUGUGAGGCUCAUUUCAAAUCGCUACAUAUAUUUUGGUGCGACCGUAUGAGGCUCAUUUCAAAGCACUACAAAUAUUUUUUAAGGAACAUGUUUCAGACCUUUGGGAGUUAGUUAGACAAAAAAAAGAAAAAGAAAAAAAUAUAUAUUUGGGGUGUUCGGGUUUCCUGAAGGUAAUACCCGGGUAUUAGGUUAUGGGGCUAGGGUAAGGUUUAAGGUUUUUGGUGUUAGAGUUAAAAUCAGUGUCCAAAACCUUUUUAGGAACAUGUUUAAGACCUUUUAGAGUUGGUUACACCAAAAAAAUGUAAAAUGAAAAAAAAAUAUUUGGGGUGUUCGGGCUUACUGAAGGUAAUACCCGGGUAUUAGGUUUUGGGGCUAGGGUAAGGUUUAAGGUUUUUGGUGUUAGGGUUAAAAUCACUGUCCAAAACCUUUGUAGGAACUCUUUUUCCAACCUUUUGGAGUUAGUUAGACAAAAAAAAUGUAAAAUGAAAAAAAUAUAUUUGGGGUGUUCAAGCUUCCUGAAGGUAAUACCCGGGUACUAGGUUUUGGGGCUAGGGUAAGGUUUAAGGUUUUUGGUGUUAGGGUUAAAAUCACUGUCCAAAACCUUUUUAGGAACAUGUUUCAGACCUUUUGGAGUAGGUUACACCAAAAAAAAAAGUAAAAUGAAAAGAAAAUAUUUGGGGUGUUCAAGCUUCCUGAAGGUAAUACCCGGGUAUUAGGUUUUGGGGCUAGGAUUAGGUUUAAGGUUUUUGGCGUUAGGGUUAAAAUCACCGUCCAAAACCUUUUGCAGGAACUCUUUUCCGACCUUUUGGAGUUAGUUAGACCAAAAAAAAAAAAAAAUGAAAAAAAUAUAUUUGGGGUGUUCGGGCUUCCUGAAGGAAAUACCCGGGUAUUAGGUUUUGGGGCUAGGGUUAGGUUUAAGGUUUUUGGCGUUAGGGUUACAAUAACUGUCCAAUAUUUUUUAAGGAACAUGUUUCAGACCUUUGGGAGUUAGUUAGACAAAAAAAAAAAGAAAAAGAAAAAAAAAAUAUUUGGGGUGUUCGGGUUUCCUGAAGGUAAUAUUAGGUAGGUAUUAGGUUAUGGGGCUAGGGUAAGGUUUAAGGUUUUUGGCGUUAGAGUUAAAAUCAGUGUCCAAAACCUUUUUAGGAACAUGUUUAAGACCUUUUGGAGUUGGUUACACCAAAAAAAAAUGUAAAAUGAAAAAAAAAAUAUUUGGGGUCUUCGGGCUUCCUGAAGGUAAUACCCGUAUAUUAGGUUAUGGGGCUAGGGUAAGGUUUAAGGUUUUUGGUGUUAGGGUUAAAAUCACCGUCCAAAACCUUUGUAGGACCUCUUUUCAAACCUUUUGGUGUUAGUUAGACAAAAAAAAAAAAAAAAAAAAAAAAAUAUAUUUGGGGUCUUCGGGCUUCCUGAAGGAAAUACCCAGGUAUUAGGUUAUGGGGCUAGGGUAAGGUUUAAGGUUUUUGGCGUUAGGGUUAAAAUCAAUGUCCAAAACCUUUUUAGGAACAUGUUUCAGACCUUUUGGAGUUAGUUAGACCAAAAAAAAAUGUAAAAUGAAAAAAAAUUUUUGGGGUGUUCAAGCUUCCUGAAGGUAAUGCCCGAGUAUUAGGUUAUGUGGCUAUAGUAAGGUUUAAGGUUUUUGGGGUUAGGGUUAAAAUCACUGUCCAAAACCUUUUCAGGAACAUGUUUCAGACCUUUUGGAGUAGGUUACACCAAAAAAAAAUGUAAAAUGAAAAGAAAAUAUUUGGGGUGUUCAAGCUUCCUGAAGGUAAUACCCGGGUAUUAGGUUAUGGGGCUAUAGUAAGGUUUAAGGUUUUUGGCGUUAGGGUUAAAAUCACUGUCCAAAACCUUUGUAGGAACUAUUUUCCAACCUUUUGGAGUUAGUUAGACCAAAAAAAAAACGAAAAAUGAAAAAAAAUAUUUGGGGUUUUCGGGCUUACUGAAGGUAAUACCCGGGUAUUAGGUUUUGGGGCUAGGGUUAGGUUUAAGGUUUUUGGCGUUAGGGUUAAAAUCACUGUCCAAUAUUUUUUAAGGAACAUCUUUCAGACCUCUGGGAGUUAGUUAGACAAAAAAAAAAAGAAAAAGAAAAAAAAAAUUGGGGUGUUCGGGCUUCCUGAAGGUAAUACCCGGGUAUUAGGUUUUGGGGCUAGGAUUAGGUUUAAGUUUUUUGGCGUUAGGGUUAAAAUCACUGUCCAAAACCUUUUUAGGAACAUGUUUCAGACCUUUUGGAGUAGGUUACACCAAAAAAAAAAGUAAAAUGAAAAGAAAAUAUUUGGGGUGUUCAAGCUUCCUGAAGGUAAUACCCGGGUAUUAGGUUUUGGGGCUAGGAUUAGGUUUAAGGUUUUUGGCGUUAGGGUUAAAAUCACCGUCCAAAACCUUUUGCAGGAACUCUUUUCCGACCUUUUGGAGUUAGUUAGACCAAAAAAAAAAAAAAAUGAAAAAAAUAUAUUUGGGGUGUUCGGGCUUCCUGAAGGAAAUACCCGGGUAUUAGGUUUUGGGGCUAGGGUUAGGUUUAAGGUUUUUGGCGUUAGGGUUACAAUAACUGUCCAAUAUUUUUUAAGGAACAUGUUUCAGACCUUUGGGAGUUAGUUAGACAAAAAAAAAAGAAAAAGAAAAAAAAAAUAUUUGGGGUGUUCGGGUUUCCUGAAGGUAAUAUUAGGUAGGUAUUAGGUUAUGGGGCUAGGGUAAGGUUUAAGGUUUUUGGCGUUAGAGUUAAAAUCAGUGUCCAAAACCUUUUUAGGAACAUGUUUAAGACCUUUUGGAGUUGGUUACACCAAAAAAAAAUGUAAAAUGAAAAAAAAAAAUAUUUGGGGUGUUCGGGCUUCCUGAAGGUAAUACCCGUAUAUUAGGUUUUGGAGCUAGGGUAAGGUUUAAGGUUUUUGGUGUUAGGGUUAAAAUCACUGUCCAAAACCUUUGUAGGAACUCUUUUCCAACCUUUUGGUGUUAGUUAGACCAAAAAAAAAAGAAAAAAGAAAAAAAUAUAUUUGGGGUCUUCGGGCUUCCUGAAGGAAAUACCCAGGUAUUAGGUUAAGGGGCUAGGGUAAGGUUUAAGGUUUUUGGCGUUAGGGUUAAAAUCAAUGUCCAAAACCUUUUUAGGAACAUGUUUCAGACCUUUUGGAGUUAGUUAGACCAAAAAAAAAUGUAAAAUGAAAAAAAAUUUUUGGGGUGUUCAAGCUUCCUGAAGGUAAUGCCCGAGUAUUAGGUUAUGUGGCUAUAGUAAGGUUUAAGGUUUUUGGGGUUAGGGUUAAAAUCACUGUCCAAAACCUUUUCAGGAACAUGUUUCAGACCUUUUGGAGUAGGUUACACCAAAAAAAAAUGUAAAAUGAAAAGAAAAUAUUUGGGGUGUUCAAGCUUCCUGAAGGUAAUACCCGGGUAUUAGGUUAUGGGGCUAUAGUAAGGUUUAAGGUUUUUGGCGUUAGGGUUAAAAUCACUGUCCAAAACCUUUGUAGGAACUAUUUUCCAACCUUUUGGAGUUAGUUAGACCAAAAAAAAAACGAAAAAUGAAAAAAAAUAUUUGGGGUUUUCGGGCUUACUGAAGGUAAUACCCGGGUAUUAGGUUUUGGGGCUAGGGUUAGGUUUAAGGUUUUUGGCGUUAGGGUUAAAAUCACUGUCCAAUAUUUUUUAAGGAACAUCUUUCAGACCUCUGGGAGUUAGUUAGACAAAAAAAAAGAAAAAGAAAAAAAAAUUGGGGUGUUCGGGCUUCCUGAA